GUCAGGAUGGCCGAGCGGUCAAGGCGCUGCGUUCAGGUCGCAGUCUCCCUGGAGGCGUGGGUUCGAAUCCCACUCCUGACA
rnacentral:tRNA from 1 species